CCAGCACCCGCGGUAAUUCCUAGGGUGCAGCCGUUAAUCGGAAUUACUGGGAGUAAAGCGUGCGCAGGCGGCUUCGCAAGUCAGAUGUGAAAUCCCCGGCGCUUAACCUGCGAACUGCGUUUGAAACUGGGAGGCUAGAGUGCGACAGAGGGGGGUAGAAUUCCACGUGUAGCAGUGAAAUGAGUAGAUAUGCGGAGGAACACCGAUGGCGAAGGCAGCCCCCUGGGCCUGCACAGACGCUCAUGCACGAAAGCGUGAGGAGCAAACAGGAUUAGAUACCCUGGUAGUCCACGCCAUAAACUAUGUCGACUGGUUGUUGGGUGAGUCUGUCCCUCAGUAACGUAGCUAACGCGUGAAGUCGACCGCCUGGGGAGUACGGUCGCAAGACUAAAACUCAAAGGAAUUGACGGGGACCCGCACAAGCGGUGGAUUAUGUGGAUUAAUUCGAUGCAACGCGAAGAACCUUACCUACCCUUGACAUGCCAGGAACCCCGCGGAGACGCGGGGGUGCCCGAAAGGGAACCUGGACACAGGUGCUGCAUGGCUGUCGUCAGCUCGUGUCGUGAGAUGUUGGGUUAAGUCCCGCAACGAGCGCAACCCUUGCCAUUAGUUGCUACAUUCAGUUGGGCACUAUAAUGGGACUGCCGGUGACAAACCGGAGGAAGGUGGGGAUGACGUCAAGUCCUCAUGGCCGUUAUGGGUAGGGCUUCACAUGUAAUACAAUGGCGCAUACAGAGGGCUGCAAACCCGCGAGGGGGAGCCAAUCCCAAAAAGUGCGUCGUAGUCCGGAUUGUUCUCUGCAACUCGAGAGCAUGAAGUCGGAAUCGUUAGUAAUCGCGGAUCAUCAUGUGGCGGUGAAUACGUUCCCGGGUCUUGUACACACCGCCCGUCACACCAUGGGAGUGGGGUUCACCAGAAGGCGUUAUCCUAACCGUCAAGGAGGGAGACGACGCACGGUGAGUUUCAUGACUGGGGUGAAGUCGUAACAAGGUAGCCGUAUCGGAAGUUGCGGCUGGAUCACAUCUU
rnacentral:rRNA from 1 species